CCCUCACUUUCAAUUUUUUUUCCCUCGUUCAUUCCUAAAUCCUGAAUUUUGUUUCCCUCAUUCCUAAUUUCUUGCCCUACAUUCUUUGCCUCACGUUUCAUUCUCUCUCUCUCUCACGUUUGAAUGCCGUCAGUGGUAGUGCCUGAUCGACGAUGCCCUCUGGAUUUUAGCUUCGCGAGAAUGGAAAACGCCGACGUUUUCCUCGGCUUACACGACUUCCGAUUUCGUCAAAGCAAUCAAAAGGUUCUUCUUCAUCACUCUGUGUAAAUCGUAAUCGUGAUUUAGGUUAGUUCAAUUUGGAACCCUCAAAUCUAGGGGCGAUUAUGCAGUUUCAUUGUUUCGUUUGAGCCACCGCCUUGUGCCUCUGAUAAUAUGCUAUACCCCAAUUUCCAGUAUGUUAUUUGGAGAAAGGCUCCUCUCUAUUUUUAUUGAUGGUUAUGUGUUUUGUUUAUGUAAGGAUGUGAGUUAUUUGAAUGUGGUAAAGGCCGACGUGUACUUACCUUAUGGAAUUUAUUUGUCUUUCCGCUUCUGCCCUGAGGAUAACAGAUAUACUAAUGGAUGCUGAGUGUUGUGGAUCCUACCUAUGUUGAACAAGCUACUUAGUUCAUUGCAGGACACAAAGUCAUUUUUUCAUCUGAGUACAAAGAUUGUUAUGCACACGUUGUUUCAUCCUUGAAAAGUUUAUUCCCGAUCCUUUGCUGGUUCAGAAUUAUGACGCCUUGAAGUCUAAAGAUGAUUUGAUAGCUGGUUUAACUCUUGCCAGCCCGAGCAUACUUCAGGUGACAGAUUGGUUGCAAUGUGACCAUUACGAAUGGAAGACCAUCCAUUGUCACUGUUGCCUUAGUUUGGUUAUGACCUUCUAGAUUGAGAAGCAAAAGAGGGAGAUUUAAGCACACAUAAAGAUGUUUGUGAACUAAGGAGAGACCUGAAUCCUAUGUUUGCAAGAGAUGCUUAAAGGCCUUGCUGUUUAUGUUCUCUCGUGGAAGAACAACAAGGUAUCUGCUGGUGCACUUGGAGGUACUAAACUAUACUAAGAAAUGCAAGCAUCAUGUAUAAGUUUUUGCAAGGAUAUGUUAAUAAAGCUCACAAAACUUGUGUAGUAGCUUGGGAAGGAACUCAGAUGAUGACAAAGGACAGGUAGAGGGAAGGACUUUGAAGGAAGUAUUGAAACCAAUUGAUGACGGGUCUAAUUAAUCUGAAACUCCCAACAAAGAAGUUCUAGCAACUCCCAACAAAGCACCAGCGGCAACCCCACUAGCUAUGAAGAAUUCAGAAUUGCAAACCCAGAUAAAUCUUGCUCUAAAAGAUCUAUAAAAAGCAAAAGAACAAUUGAGAAGCUAAAAGAAGCACAAAGAGUAACUAAGGAAGCAAAUGAGAAACUUAUGGAGGCAUUGGUGGCUCAAAAACGGGUUGAGGAGGAUUCUUAAAUUGAGAAGCUCCGCAGUUUUGAAUCCGGACAUGCUGGAAUUGAAGCUAUUCAAAAGAUGGAAGGGGAUGGUAGAAAGAGUAAGAAAGAGCUUUGAAGGUGUAAGGAACCAGCAUGCUUAGUAUGUGGCUUGAAAAUAAGUAAACUCUAAGUAAUUUUGGUAUUUUUUUUAUAGGUGUGAUCUUUAUGAAUUACAUGAAGCUUGUUGUUAAUUGAAAUUCAUUUAUCUCUUUGAUCAAUGAAGAGUUGAUUCUUGAUUAA